rnacentral:piRNA from 1 species
UUCACUCUUGUGUUCAGGUUGGGAUUGGGA